rnacentral:rRNA from 1 species
CCUACGGGUGGCUGCAGUGGGGAAUAUUGGACAAUGGGGGGAACCCUGAUCCAGCCAUGCCGCGUGUGUGAAGAAGGCCCUCGGGUUGUAAAGCACUUUCAGUGAGGAAGAACGCCUGGUGGUUAAUACCCAUCAGGAAAGACAUCACUCACAGAAGAAGCACCGGCUAACUCCGUGCCAGCAGCCGCGGUAAUACGGAGGGUGCGAGCGUUAAUCGGAAUUACUGGGCGUAAAGCGCGCGUAGGUGGCUUGAUAAGCCGGUUGUGAAAGCCCCGGGCUCAACCUGGGAACGGCAUCCGGAACUGUCAAGCUAGAGUGCAGGAGAGGAAGGUAGAAUUCCCGGUGUAGCGGUGAAAUGCGUAGAGAUCGGGAGGAAUACCAGUGGCGAAGGUGGCCUUCUGGACUGACACUGACACUGAGGUGCGAAAGCGUGGGUAGCAAACAGGAUUAGAUACCCUAGUAGUC